GUCUACGGCCAUACCACCCUGAACACGCCCAAUCUCAUCUGAUCUCAGAAGCUAAGCAGGGUUGGGCCUGGUUAGUACUUAGACUGGAGAAAUUCAUAGCAUUUUAUUAC
rnacentral:rRNA from 1 species